UGGGCCAAUCAAGGAGGAGGUGUACGUGGAGCAACCCCCUGGCUUCGAGGAUGAACGGUACCCCGACCACGUGUGUAAGCUCUCUAAGGUGCUCUAUGGACUUAAGCAAGCCCCAAGAGCAUGGUAUGAAUGCCUUAGAGACUUUUUAAUUGCUAAUGAUUUCAAGGUUGGGAAAGUCGAUCCAACGUUAUUCACUAAGACUUGUGAUGGUGAUCUUUUUGUGUGCCAAAUUUAUGUCGAUGACAUAAUAUUUGGUUCUACUAACCAAAAGUCUUGUGAAGAGUUUAGCAGGGUGAUGACUCAAAAAUUUGAGAUGUCGAUGAUGGGCGAGUUAAGCUAUUUCCUUGGGUUCCAACUGAAGCAACUCAAGGAUGGAACCUUCAUCUCCCAAACGAAGUACACGCAAGACUUGAUCAAGCGGUUUGGGAUGAAGGACACCAAGCCCGCAAAGACUCCAAUGGGAACCGACAGACACACCGACCUCAACAAAGGAGGUAAGUCCGUUGAUCAAAAGGCAUACCGGUCUAUGAUAGGGUCCUUACUUUAUUUAUGUGCUAGUAGACCGGAUAUUAUGCUUAGCGUAUGCAUGUGUGCUAGAUUUCAAUCCGAUCCAAGGGAGUGUCACUUAGUGGCCGUGAAGCGAAUUCUUAGAUAUUUAGUCGCUACGCCUUGCUUCGGGAUCUGGUAUCCAAAGGGGUCUACCUUUGACUUGAUUGGAUAUUCAGACUCCGAUUAUGCUGGAUGUAAGGUCGAUAGGAAGAGUACAUCAGGGACGUGCCAAUUCUUAGGAAGGUCCCUGGUGUCAUGGAGUUCUAAGAAACAAACUUUCGUUGCCCUAUCCACCGCUGAGGCCGAGUAUGUUGCCGCAGGACAGUGUUGCGCGCAACUACUUUGGAUGAGGCAAACCCUUAGGGACUUUGGCUACAAUCUGAGCAAAGUCCCACUCCUAUGUGAUAAUGAGAGUGCUAUCCGCAUGGCGGAUAAUCCUGUUGAACACAGUCGCACAAAGCACAUAGACAUCCGGCAUCACUUUUUGAGAGACCACCAGCAAAAGGGAGAUAUCAAAGUGUUUCAUGUUAGCACCGAGAACCAGCUAGCCGAUAUCUUUACCAAGCCUCUAGAUGAGUCGACCUUUUGCAAACUGUGUAGUGAGCUAAAUGUCUUAGAUUCGCGGAACCUGGAUUGAUUUAUAGCAUACAUGUGUUUUAUGCCUUGAUCAUGUUCCUUAAUGCACUUUGUUGUUUAUUUAUGGUGCUCAAGUUGUACAAGCAUUCCCCGGACCUCACAAGUCCAUUUGCAAGUGAUGCACAUAUUUAGGGGGAGAUGUGCUACAACUUGACCCUUUGAGACUAACUGUGUGCUUGAGCUUGCUUAAUUUAGUCUCAAAGGAGGUUUGAAAGGGAAAAGGUGGACUUGGACCAUGCAAGACUUCCACUGCACUCCGAUGAAAGAGUAACUGAUUCCAAGUUCAUCUUUGUACUCUUAUUUCCUUUUUACUCUUAGUUGAAGAUUUUGGUGAGGCAAUGGGGUUAAAGGGCCAAAAUUGAUCCCGUUUUGAUGCUUGAUGCCAAAGGGGGAGAAAAUAAGGCCAAAGCAACAAAUGGAUCAGCUACCCACUUGAGAAUUUUGAAAAUAGUAGAAUAGAGCUUUUGGUUUGUCAAAAGCUCUCUUAUUGUCUUUUUUGUCAAAAGUUGGCCUCUUGUGGGGAGAAUGGCCGAUUAUGGGAAAAAGGGUAGAAUAGAGCUUUUGGUUUGUCAAAAGCUCUCUUAUUGUCUCUUUUGUCAAAAGUUGGCCUCUUGUGGGGAGAAUGGUCGAUUAUGGGAAAAAGGGUAGAAUAGAGCUUUUGGUUUGUCAAAAGCUCUCUUAUUGUCUCUUUUGUCAAAAGUUGGCCUCUUGUGGGGAGAAUGGUCGAUUAUGGGAAAAAGGGGGAGUUUUUGAAAUCUUUGAUCAGUUUCUCUUGGAACAACUCUCUUUAUGUCUCAACAAGUGUGUUUGACUUAGAGAUAGGAAAUUGAAUUUGAUUUGCAAAAACAAACCAAGUUGUGGCAAAGAAUGAUCCAUAUAUGCCAAAUUUGAAUCAAAACAAUUUUGAGUACUCAUUUGUAUUGAUGUUGCACUUCCUUUAGUUGCUUUUUAUUGUGUUGGCAUAAAUGACCAAAAAGGGGGAGAUUGAAAGGAAAUGUGCCCUUGGGCCAUUUCUAAGUAUUUUGGUGAUUGAGUGCCAACACAAGUGGACUUAUGUUAAUCUAUGCAAAGUGAUGGAUAAAGUGCAAAUCAAGUAAAAAGGUGUGUUUCUAAGACUUAGUACAUUGUUUUGGAGACUAAUGUAUUGUGUCUAAGUGCUGGAAACAGGAGAAAUCAAGUUGGAAAAGAGAUGGCUUUGUUCAGCCAAAGACUGCUCGUUCUAGGUGCACCGGACAGUGUCUGGUGCGCCAGGCCAGCGUCUAUCAACUGGCUGCUCUCGGGAAGCAAUUAACGGCGUACGGCUAUAAAUCACCGGACUGUCCGGUGGUGCACCGGACUGUCCGGUGAGCCAACAGUCGGCCGGGCCAACGGUCGGCCGUAUAAUCCGCGCGCGACGCGUGGCAAGAGCCAACGGUCAGAAGGGGCACCGAACUGUCCGGUGUGCACCGGACAGUGUCCGGUGCGCCAACGGCUCCAAAGUGCCAACAGUCGGCUUCGCCAAAGAAGGAAAGAAAUCCGCACCGGACAGUGUCCGGUGGUGCACCGGACUGUCCGGUGCGCCAGGCGACAGAAGGCAAGAAUUGCCUUCCUGGAAUGCUCUCAACGGCUCCUAGAUGCCUUGGGGCUAUAAAAGGGACCCCUAGGCGCAUGGAGGAGAUCAUCAAGCAUUCUCUAAGCAUUCCUAAGCACCAAGACUUCAAUUCCGCGCAUUCGAUUCUUUGUGAUAGCAACUAGAGCUCCAUUUGAGUAGAGAACUUUUUGAGUUGUGUUGAGAGCUCGUGUUGUGACUUGUGUGCGUAUUGUCGCUCUGAUUUUGUGUCUUGUGUGCGUUGCUCAUCCCUCCCUUACUUCGUGCUUCUUUGUGAACAUCAAAGUGUAAGGGCGAGAGGCUCCAAGUUGUGGAGAUUCCUCGCAAGCGGGAUAUAGUAAAAAGCAAAACACCAUGGUAUUCAAGUGGGUCUUUGGACCGCCUGAAAGGGGUUGAUUGCAACCCUCGUCUGUUGGGACGCCACAACGUGGAGUAGGCAAGUGUUGGACUUGGCCGAACCACGGGAUAAACCACUGUGUCUAUCUGUGUUGAUCUUCUUGUGAUUAUCGUGUCUUGCAAGAACUCUUCUCUAGCCACUUGGCUUUAUUGUGCUAACUCCUAAUCAAGUUUUGUGGCAUUAAAGAUCAAAGUUUUACAGGAUCACCUAUUCACCCCCCCCCCUCUAGGUGCUCUCAACAGCCCAGACGCACGAAUCAUGGCGACAGCGCAAAUCACGGUGCGAAGGUCACCGGCGGCGAGGGGGGAUGAAUCCGGGAUCUGAUUCAGCUACUGUACCAUGGGAUGUUUCUGCAGACAGCCUGACAGCCCAAGUUUGGCAUCGAUUUUCUCCUGAUUUUUCAUGGCAACAUGUUGAUCGACCAAUAGCAAAGUUGUUGUCUAAUAAUACAUCUACAACCUUGCUAUAACAACCAUAGCCAAACUCUCACCAGAUCUGGGUUGAAUUCCAGUCCAAAGAUUACUCAAUCACACUGUCAGUCUGAGUUCAGACUUAAGACAGCCUGACAGAUCAACUUUGAGUCCAAUUUUCUCAAAACUUUUCAUAGUACCAAGACUUGCUCUCUAUAGCAAAAUUGUUCCCCUUUUGUAGCUCUACAAACUUGAUAUGGUGAUCUAGGGCAAAAAGUUUAUAACUUGGAAGAUAUAGGGUCCCGAAGUUGAGCCAAUCCCACUAAAAUUCAGACUUAUCCAAUAGAGUUCAAAUAGGACUUUUUGCAAAUAAGUCCAAAUCUCAAGGUUUAACUUGCAAAUCCACAUACUUGCGAACCAUAUGACUUAAGGUGCCUUAAUUUCAUGGUUUUUGCACUUUAGUCCAAAAUGGCACUAGUUUUGCACUUAGCCCCCUAGGGUUUAAGUCUAGGGCUUUCUAGGGUUCUUUUUAGGGUUUUUAACACUUCUAGGGUUUGGAUGUUACUUAGGUCCAUUCCUAGUGACAUUUUAUGACUAUUUCAAUUGAGUUUUAAAGUUUUCCCUUAUUAAGCCUUGCUUACUCUAUUAAGCCCAAACUAGGGUUAAGUAUCCUACUCUAGGGUUUUACCCAUAAAAUGUCAUAGCAAUACAACUUGUUUGAAAUUUUUGCCUAGUGAAUGCACUCUAGGUGUGACAAACACAUGACAUGCCAAUGCUUAUGGUGUUAUGCUCAAAUUUUAGUAAUAGUAACACCAGGGGUGUUACAUCCUUCCCCCCAUAAAAGAAUCUCGUCCCGAGAUUAAAAGUCCUAGGGCAAGUAAUGGAAAAGGAAACACGACAUAUCUUUAUUUCCUUAUUUUUGGUACAAGGCAGGGGUGGUUUGGGGUUUAUUCCUCUUAUUACAACAAAUGUGCAUACUUUACAAAUUACAUGAGGCUAAAAAGCCCGGAAAAUUCUUUUCUAAAAAGUCUUGAGCUUCCCAAGUAGCCUCAUCUUUUGUAUGUUGGUUCCACUGUAUCUUGUAAAACUUGAGAGUUUUUCUUCGGGAAUCCUGUCCUUUUGAUCCAAGACUCGAAUAGGAUGCUCUGAAUAUGUCAAGUCUGGUUCUAAGGCAACAUCCGUUACUUCAAUGGUUUGAUCGGGAACCCGAAGACACUUCUUCAAUUGAGACACGUGGAACACAUUAUGUACUGCAGAUAAGGUUUCGGGUAACUGGAGUCGGUAUGCCACUGGUCCACAUUGUUCAAGAACAGGAAAAGGACCAAUAUAUAGGGGUGCAAGCUUCCCUUUUACCCUGAAAUGUGAUACACCUUUCAUUGGUGAAACUUUCAAGUAGACAUAAUCUCCAACUAGAAAGUACAGGGGUAUCCGUCGUUUGUCUGCGUAACUCUUCUGAUGAGCUUGAGCUUCUUUUAAAUUAUGAAUUAUUCGUUGUACUCUCUCUUUUGUUUCCUUUACCAUAUCAGGCCUGAAGAAAUUUCUUUCACCUGGUUCAGACCAGUUUAACGGAGUACGACACUGUUGUCCAUAUAAGGCUUCAAAGGGUGCCAUUUUGAUGCUUUCUUGAUAGCUAUUAUUGUAUGAGAACUCCGCUAAUGGUAAACAAUCAUCCCAUUUCUAUGGGAAUUCCAGAACACAUGCUCGUAACAUAUCUUCAAGUAUUUGAUUUACUCUUUCAGUUUGCCCACUGGUUUGAGGAUGAUAGGCCAAACUGUGGAGCAAUUUAGUACCCAAGGAUUUGUGAAGUUCUUCCCAGAAUUUGGAUACAAAUUGAGGUCCACGAUCUGACACUAUUGUCUUCGGAACACCGUGCAAACUGAGGAUGCGAGCAAUGUACAGUUUCACAUAUGUAAGGACCGGGUAAUAUGUCUUGACUGGCAGAAAAUGAGCAAUUUUUGUAAGCUGGUCAAUUAUAACCCAAAUAGAAUCAUACCCUUUUGCGGUCCUGGGCAAUCCCACAAUAAAGUCCAUACUAAUAUCCUCCCAUUUCCAUGUUGGUAUAGGUAGAGAUUGUAAUGGACCAGCAGCUUUCAUGUGUAUGGCCUUGACACGUCUACAAGUGUCACAUCUUGGCACAUAGCAUGUGAUUUCAAUCUUCAUCUUUGUCCACCAAUAAUGCUGUUUUAGAUCAUGAUACAUCUUAGUGCUUCCGGGAUGAAUAGAAUAGCGACUAAGAUGUGCUUCAUUUAGAAUUUGCUGGCAGAUCUCAUCAUUUUUAGGCACAACUAUGCGGUUGUUGAACCAUACAACACCUUGAUCAUCUCUUCUGAAGCAGAUAGCUUUACCAACCUCUAUUUUCUCAUGAAUGUGUUUCAUUCCCUCACCAUUUCUUUGUUCGUCAGUUAUUCUUUGCAGGAUGACUGACUCAAUCUUCAAGUGAUUUGAAGUUCCAUGCUGAAUCAUUCCCAGGUUCAACUUUUCCAUUUCUUGGCAUAACAUAAUGUCAGAAGUCUUCAUGGUAAGACAAUGGCAGAAAGCCUUACGACUUAACGCAUCUGCCACUACAUUAGCUUUGCCUGGGUGAUAGUGAAUCUCUAAUUCAUAAUCCUUUAUCAGCUCGAGCCAUCUCCUUUGUCUCAUAUUAAGAUCUGACUGGGUAAAGAUGUACUUCAAACUUUUGUGGUCUGUAUAAUUGUGACAGACAUUCCCCAGCAGAUAAUGACGCCAUAUUUUUAGGGCAUGAACCACCGCAGCUAACUCCAGGUCAUGAGUUGGAUAAUGUUCCUCAUGCCGGCGCAACUGCCUUGAAGCAUAAGCUAUUACUCGGCCCUCUUGCAUUAGAACACAGCCGAGACCACUGCCUGAUGCGUCACAAUACACAUCAAAGGGCUUUUCAAUGUCCGGUUGAGCCAAUACCGGAGCAGUGGUUAAUAACACUUUUAGCUGCUCAAAGGCUUCAUUACAUUUUGAAGACCAAUUGAAUUUGGUAUCAUUCUUCAAUAAACCUGUGAUUGGUUUCACAAGCUUGGAAAAAUCUGGUAUGAAUCGGCGGUAAUAACUAGCCAGUCCAAGGAAACUUCGGACUUGAUGUACAGUGGUUAGGGAUUUCCACUCCAAAAUAUCCUUGACUUUGCUGGGAUCCACCGCAAUCCCCUUGGCAGAUAAUACAUGUCCCAGAAAUUGGAUCUCCUCCAGCCAGAAUGCGCACUUACUGAACUUAGCAUAUAACUGGUGUUCCCUUAAGCGCGUUAAUAUGAUCCGCAAAUGUCGAGCAUGCCCCUCUUCAUUCUUGGAGUAUAUUAAGAUAUCGUCAAUGAAUACCACCACAAAUUUGUCCAACUCGGGCAUAAAUACUGAGUUCAUCAGAUAUGUGAAGUGGGCAGGAGCAUUUGUCAGUCCGAAAGACAUAACCAGAUAUUCAAAUAAUCCAUAUUGCGUGGUGAAUGCGGUCUUUGGUAUAUCUUUGGGUCGGAUACGGAUCUGAUGAUAACCCGACCUGAGGUGAAUCUUGGAGAAUACCUGAGCUCCGAUAAGUUGAUCAAAUAGAAUGUUAAUCUGGGGAAGAGGGUACUUAUUCUUGAUGGUGACCUCAUUAAGGGGUCUAUAAUCCACGCACAUCCGUAAUGUUUGGUCCUUUUUCUUGACAAAGAUGGCUGGACAUCCCCAAGGUGAUGAACUUGGUCAGAUGAAUCCUUUUUCAAGUAGAUCUUGUAAUUGGGUCUUGAGUUCUGCCAGUUCAUUUGGAGGCAUUCGGUACGACCUUCUAGAAAUAGGAGCCGUACCGGGCUUCAACUCAAUCACAAAUUCUACAUCUCUUUCUGGAGGCAAUCCAGGCAGAUCUUCUGGGAAGACGUCUGGAAACUCACAUACUACCGGAAUAUCUUGGAUCUCCAGUAUGAUGGCUUCAUAUACUCUGCCAGUUGGUUUAACUGGAAUGGCUACGGGGAUGGACAAAAGAACCUCUUCUUGGCCAUAACUCAACCUGAUGGUUCUCAUAUCAGUGUUGAGGAUUGCUUUAUGCUAGGCUAACCAAUUCAUGCCCAAAAUUACAUCUAUGUCUUGGCCUUUUAGAACAAUCAUGUUUGUAGGAAAGUCCCAUUCAGCCAAUGUUACGGGCAAAUGGUAAGCCACCUCUUUAGUAAAUAUUUGUCCCCCAGGCGAAUGAAUUACAAACCCUUCCCUUGAUUCAUGGUAUGGAAUGCAAUGUUGCUCCACAAACUUUUUGCUUAUGAAUGUAUGUGAAGCGCCAGAAUCAAAAAGGAUAACGGCAGGGUGAUUGGCCACGAGAAACGUACCCAUCAUAACCGGUUCGCCUUCCGGUAUUGUGGCCACUUGAGUAUAAUAAAUCCGUCCCGUUUUCCUCAUAUUUUUGCACGCGGUAUUGUUUGCCGCAUUUCCCUUGACUUGAGCAGAACUCCCGGAACUCUGCUGAUUAUUUGAUCGAUUCUGCUUCGGGUAUGGACAGUCCUUGAUAAAAUGUCCGGACUUUCCACAAUUAAAGCAGCCUGUUGAAGAGCUUGGGAGAGCGGGGAAACGAGUACCAGGGCACCCGACCGAUUUGUGGCGGUGGGGGCAUUGGUAGGACAAAUAAAAAUCGGUUGUUUGAAAGGGUGGGAGGGUGGGCGCGAUGAAGAAUGAUUCUAGUUAAAAGGUCGGAUUACCAACCUUUGUCUUUUCUCAGGCCCCUCAUUGGGCAUGUCGCCUCCAUUGCCCUUUGAUUUUCCAGAGCCUGCAUAUUUGGCUUCAACUGCCAGUGUCGUGCUGACAGCCCUUCCGUAAGAAAGAUCAAUGCAGGUGGCCAUCUUUCGUUGCAUUCGAUCAUUAAGGCCUCUCAUGAAGCAAUUUCUCUUCUUUAAAUCCAUGUUGACUUGAUCGAUAGCAUAUUGGGAUAAGUGGUUGAAUUUGUUGAGAUACUGAGUGACAGUAUCCCCACCCUAUUUGAGCUUCAUAAACUCCUCCUGCUUCAUAUGGAGCACCCCUUCAGGUAUAUAGUGCUCCCGGAAAAUCAAUUUGAACUCGUCCCAUGUAAUUUGAUGGCCGACCGGCUGAACGGCUACAUAAUUUCCCCACCAUGUGCUGGCAGGGCCUCGCAACUGUUGUGCCGCAAAUAAGGGCUUUUGAGUCUCUGUACAUCGGAGAAGCCCGAACUUCUGUUUGAUAACGCGGAUCCACUCAUCCGCUUCCAGAGGAUCUUCUGCCUUGACAAACAAUGGGGGACGUGUCUCUGAGAAAUCCAGAUAUGAUGUUUCACGGGGUCCUUGCGGAUACGCUCGCCCGCCUUGCUGCUACAUUUGUUGUCCCACCAUUUCCCGUAGAAAGCGAGUGUUGUCAACUGUGGCAUUAACUAAGGCAGUGAUGGCCUCAGCUAAUGUUGGAGGUACUGGGGGUGGAUUAGGGGUUGCUUCCCUCCCACGGGAGGUUCCUGCCCCAUCCUGUGCGCGAGUCCUGGAUGGCAUCUGAGGCAAAGAACAUUUGGAGAAAUAUAAUAUGCCAAAGUAAACCAUCCAUUUUACAUUACUUUAAAAGGGUAAUGUUAUAGACUCAAAUUUACAACAGGAUUACAUUACCUAUUACACAUUAUCACUACUUCUAUACUACACUAUUCUAGCUUCUUGUUACUUUUGGUAGCCUCGCUGUCAGGCAUAGGAGACCAUUUGUCGACCAAAUUCAUUGAAGGAGGGGGCCUGAAAAGAUCCAGUUCCCCUCCAAGGGCUUCACCCGCUGCUCCAGAUGGUCUGGCUCCCAUCCCGACAGGAUCCGCAGGUACGUUAGGGUGCAGUUGUGAAUACAAUACAUGAACUUCUUCAUGUAGUGUAUUAUAAUAAACCUGCAAGUUGUCCACGGCUGAGCUAAGCUCUUCCAUGCGGGCUCGAGCUCUAGCUUCCUUUGCCCAAGCAAGUGAACGAGAAUUAACCGCCCAAUCGAGCGCUAGAUCCCGUUCAGCAAGUUGGUCUUGCAGGUGGCGGAUGUCUGUUCUCAAUUGGUUUAUUCUUUCACCAUCCGCGGCCCAUAUAUCGUUCUUGUGACUGAGUUCUGAUCGAAGUUGUUCAACUUGGGCUUCCAGAUCCCCGAUUGGAUCAUUGCUACCACUGCUACUGUCUUCAUGCCGUGGGACUAGUUGAUGGCGGGGUACGCCAAUCGGCCCGGUAGACUUGCGCGCGGUCUUUCUCGUGCGCGGCGGCAUAUCUCCAUGAGGGGGGAAAUCUUAUUAGCAUAGUUUUUAGCAUGAUGCAUGUAUAAUUACAGAAUCAACCUUAGUUGAUUCACACCUUCUUACAUUGCACUCUACUAUCUGGUCUUUAAAAUAAGCACCUCAGGAGGAGAUUGUAUAAGAAGGAAAGAAAUUUUCUAGAUAAGUCUUUGAAAAUUCUUUUUGAAAAUGUCUCAUAAUAUCUGCGAAGAUGGGCUUCGCCCUGAUACCAGCUGUGACGGAACCUCCCAAGUCAUUAGGCCCACCUACAGUUGUCCUUGUCCAACGGACUUCAGACAACCCUGUAGGUGCACCUGAUCACUUGAUAAGUUCAGUAUCUGAAUUCUUUACCUUUCCCAAGAGCAUUUCACCCGUCACGCAGACAUUACAAUACAUCGGAGAUACGAAAGUGCGGAAACAGUUACAAUAACUUACUUUAUUGAAAAGUAAGAUAGAGUCAUAUAGUUACAGACCAGAACCAAAAUAUAUGAGUGCUGAGUAUUAUUAUUACAAAACAUGGGAGGCAAAAACCCCUCCCAAAUAAACAGUAAAAGUUUUUCUUAAUGGAGGACCUUUCCUCCCGCAGCUUUAGUCUUGAUUCUCUUCUUUCGGUACCACCUUGGAACAGAAGCAACAAAAGUUUGUUGCUUCUUCACCAAAAACAACAUGGGACAAAGCCCUGAGUACGAAGUGUACUUUUGCAAGACUUACCCGACAAAGUAAAAGACUCUCAAGGAUAUGCUGGCUUUAAGGGAGUCAAGGUAAGGCUUAUCAAUAAUCAAUGACUUUGUUUGCAGAAAUGCUUACUAAUAGUGGAUCCUUAAAAAUCCAGUUUUUUUGUCAAGUUAAGUAAAAUUACCUGCAACUAGAGUUCUUUCUACCCUAGUUCAAUCACUUGACCAAUACUAGCCAAUUUCUUAACAACCCUUCUUAUUCACUGGAAUGCUACGUGUAGGUCAGUGACCAAGUCUUCAUGUCCGCGAAGUUAUGGCGAUCCGAAUCAAUUAUACUCAGAUGAGGAUCUCCAAUCACACGACAUAUGUAGCACUUAACCCUUGCAUAUGUCAACUCGCCACCGGGGUUCUUAAGACCAGAUCAGGUUCAUGCCAACCGAGAGCACAGAUACACCACCGUCCAGCCUCUUCCACGGAGGGUACAUGCUACUCUCGCCAUCUCUCCACUCCCAUUGUGUGUUAUCUUAUCUGGUAUUAGUCUGCCCGAGGCAAAGCUUACCCAUGACGAGGCAUGUGCCAGUUAAAGGGUCCUCGAUCAUCAAGCCUACAUCGACACGGUCCUUAAUCGACUCAGACGGAAACACUACACCGAGACUCUCUUCUCGUGCAAGUCACCCGCCCGGUCUCAGCUUAAUCAUUUCAAACCCAAAGUUUGGUACCUGUCAGAGGUACAUCUUUUCCGAUGUUGAACCCAGCAUGGCCAUGAUGGAUCCACCAUCAAGUUUUAUUUUCGAAAACAUCCCUCCCACUUGUAGCAUCAUCUUUUGUGAAAACAAAACAUUUUGUUUUUCUAGAGCAAAGCUAAGCAUAAGAAAAACCUUUUGUAAAACAGGGAUUUAAGGAGAAGUAAUCCAUUCCAAGGAAGGAAAUGCAGGAAUUGGUUUAGCACACAACUCCUAUUACCUAAUGCAUCAAGUAAGUGAGAAAGAUUUUAAAAGGAACAAGGAGGUGGCAAAUGCACCGGGGCUUGCCUUGUGUUACUGGUGAAUCAGGCUCUGUUCCACAGAUAUCAAAAUAAAAACAGUUGCCUGCCUUAUGUUCUUCAGGUGGUGGUGCUGAUGAAGUCCUUGUCUCUUCAACCUCUACUUCCUCCUCGUUUUCUAAAUAUAGCCAAGUAUAAUAAUGAAUGCUCAUGUAAUGCCCAUGAAGAUGCAAAGAUAAUAAAAGUUUAUUAUCUAAGGUCUUGAAUACAACUUUCCUUCACGGAUCUCCGAGAACCUAGGGUUUUCGGAGUCAAUAGUGAAGUUCAUAGGGCAGGGGCUAGGGUUUUGGGUUCUAAGUAUCAAACUUGGUCCAUAUCAUACCAAACUUUACCCCAAGCCUCUAAAUAUUAUUUAGAGUUUUCCCUAAAAGUUUAGUGAAUUUUGGAUUUAUUAUUUAUUCCCUAAAAAUCCAGAAGCAUGGUUUUUGGCUAUUUUAAAUGCUCUAUAAUUUCCUAUUUGGACUAAAAAUCAUGAAACUAUUUUUAUUAAAUACUAUAGGAAAUUAGAAGCCUUGAAAAAUUGGUCUUACAUUUUUAGCAUUUUUCUACAAUUUUAUAGAAUUUCUUUAGCUCUGGCAGAAAAGGAAAAAGAAAAGACAUGAACAGUGUUGGACCGAAACCGGCCCAAGUCAGCCCAACAUAGGCAGAAGCGCGCCCGCGCGCGCCCGCGUGCAAACUUUGCAAGAAAGACCAUGUUGUUUUAAAUAACCCAAACUGAGUUCAACGCACUAUUUCUAUGAGUCGCUGACAGUUACGGUUAGACCCCUGAACUUCUAAUUCUUCACAGCGCCAAGUCCACGAUGUCGCACAGCGGAUAUCCGAGCACCGGUGAGUCUAGACUGGCAAGAUCAUGCAAAGACCGGCGCUCCCGAGCGGCAGACACCAAAUCGGAUCCCUCCUAACCAUUUCCCCUCACUCAAUUUCACUAAUUAGACUCUAAAUCAUCUUGUCCACGGAGGCAGUGCGGACAGUCAAAGGAACUAACGUGUUCCCGGCGAUCCAGGGCAGCCUAACCCAGUUGCAUUGGUCGAGGAGCUUCAGGAGGACUUAAGGAUGUUAGAACAAGAGAGCAGGGAGUACGAACGGACAUGGAACACGCUGACCAUGGUGAGGGCUCUUUUACUGUGGCGGAGAACGGAUUUUGGGGGGAAUGAGAAAUUCGUGAGCUUUGGUGAUCGAUUGAGGGCAUGGUUUGGUGACUUGGUGCUUGACUACCCUACGGAGCUCACGGCAGGCUCAAUUUAUAGCAGGCAAGAGCGAAGGCCGGUGAAUUUGGAUUGAGACGCGCGGCGGCCGGAGAUAACAGGGGUUACUGGCGCAGUGGAUUCGUGGAGUAUACCGUGGCGGACUCACCGGUGAUGAUCGGAUGGCUAACGUGAGUCAUGGUGGUGCGGUUAAAGGCUGGAGGCGUGGCACAACUACGGUGAGCAUCACUGAUUCCGGUGACGGCCGUAAGGCCACGUCGCAGGCGCGGGGAACCGAGGGACAGCGCGGCCACAGUAGCUUAACCCCAUCCGUGAUGAGAUCUUUUCCCGGUGAACUUGAUCCACAGCCCAGAUGCACGAAUCACGGCGACGGCGCAAAUCACGAUGCGAAGGUCACCGGCGGCGAGGGGGGAUGAAUCCAGGAUCUGAUUCAGCUAAUGUACCAUGGGAUGUUUCUGCAGACAGCUUGACAGCCCAAGUUUGGCAUCGAUUUUCUCCUGAUUUUUCAUGGCAACAUGUUGAUCAACCAAUAGCAAAGUUGUUGUCUAAUAAUCCAUCUACAACCUUGCUAUAACAACCAUAGCCAAACUCUCACCAGAUCCGGGUUGAAUUCGAUUCCAAAGAUUACUCAAUCACACUGUCAGUCUGAGUUCAGACUUAAGACAGCCUGACAGAUCAACUUUGAGUCCAAUUUUCUCAAAACUAUUCAUAGUACCAAGACUUGCUCUCUAUAGCAAAAUUGUUCCCCUUUUGUAGCUCUACAAACUUGAUGUGGUGAUCUAGGGCAAAAAGUUUAUAACUUGGAAGAUAUAGGGUCCCAAAGUUGAGCCAAUCCCACUGAAAUUAAGACUUAGCCAAUAGAGUUCAAAUAGGAAUUUUUGCAAAUAAGUCCAAAUCUCAAGGUUUAACUUGCAAAUCCACAUACUUGUGAACCAUAUGACUUAAGGUGCCUUAAUUUCAUGGUUUUUGCACUUCAGUCCAAAAGUGCACUAGUUUUGCACUUAGCCCCUAGGGUUUAAGUCUAGGGCUUUCUAGGGUUUUUUAGGGUUUUUAACACUUCUAGGGUUUGGAUGUUACUUAGGUCCAUUCCUAGUGACAUUUUAUGACUAUUUCAAUUGAGUUUUAAAGUUUUCCCUUAUUAAACCUUGCUUACUCUAUUAAGCCCAAUCUAGGGUUAAGUAUCCUACUCUAGGGUUUUACCCAUAAAAUGUCCUAGCAAUACAACUUGUUUGAAAUUUUUGCCUAGUGAAUGCACUCUAGGUGUGACAAACACAUGAUAUGCCAAUGCUUAUGAUGUUAUGCUCAAAUUUUAUUAAUAGUAACACCUGGGGUGUUACAACGGACAUGUAGAUGUGCCCGAGUGGGUACUCCCCUUCAGUCGGCACGAUGCCGAAGAAAGGAGUAUCUGACUCGGUGAGGUCUUUGAGUGUGACCUCCAGGGCCUAGAGCGUCCGGGGGAAGGUGAUGUUGAUGCUGCUUCCCCCAUCCACUAGUACUUUCUUCACCCGACUCUCUCGGAUCACUGGAUCAACGAGGAGCGGGUAUUUGCCGGGAUCAUCAAAGUUGAGACAUUGAUCACCUCGGCUGAAGGUUAUCGCGUGCUUCGACCAUAGGUAAGGAGCCGAGGUACUGGUGGUAGCCACCAGGACCUGCCGGUCGUUGAGCUUUUGCUGCCUCCUGUUCUCUUGUGCUCCAUGGCCUCCGAAGAUAACGUUGACCUCCCUGUCAACGCGUGGAAAAGCUCCACCCCUCCCCCUUCCUGUUGCCGAGGCUGCCUGGGCUCCCAAGGCUCUCCUCGUGGUGGGGGAGGCGGUAGAGGCUGGAAUGGUCAGCCAUGCCCGAAGGAAUGCUUGAAGUCCCUGCAAUUCCGUAGGGUGUGGCGCAUGUCCUUGUGCUACGGGCACUGGGCAUCGAGGAUUUCAUCCAGUGUCCGUACCCCUCCGUAGGGUGUGCCGCGGGCUCGAGCGAUGGGUGGCCCGGCGAUGUGCACCUCCUCGCGGGGCCUCUUCUCCCAGCGCCUAUCAGGCUGCUGGUUCGCGUCACGUCAUGGCGCGGGUUUCAUGUCUUCGAUGAGGUCCUGGGCCCGUUCAUCCGCGGUGAUAUAGAGGUCCGCCUCCUGGAACAAUUGUUCGGAGGUGGGGGUGCUUUCUAGAGUAUGGCUCGGACGAAGGCCAAGUCAUUGGAUCCCUGGUAGAAGUCUUCAAUCACCGCCGCCUCGGUGACUUCGGGGAUGCAGUUCCUCAUGGUCUGAAACCUCUUGAGGUACGACCGGAGCGUCUCCUCGCUCUGGCGCCGGAUGGAUUUUAGGUCUCAUGGCUAUGUCGGCUUGUCGGAUAGGGACUGGAAGUUGGCGAUGAAGCGCCGACUGAAGUCCUUCCAAUCAUCGAUGCAGUGUCGGGGUAGAUGUUGGAGCCACUGUAGUGCAUCUUGCCCCAGGACAAUGGGCAAGUAUGCUGUCAUCACGUCCUCCGUCGCCCCGGUGGCCUGAGCGGCAGUCGUGUAGACGGCUAACCAACCGCCUGGGUCCUACUUGGGCUCAUACUUGCCGACGUUGGAGACCUUGAAGUUGGGGGGCCACUGGAUGGCCCAGAGAUGCGGAGUAAGCACGAAAACACCGCACUUGUCUUCCUAUCGGUGUUUGUGCUGUCGGUCCCGACGAGGGGAGUCAGUAGUAUGUCAUCUCGACCAUCCUCGGAACGUCCCACUAGUUGAGGCUAUAGCCGACUCAGCACGGGUGGUGCGACUUCGUGCCGGGAUGCCGUGAUCAUGGUCAUAUUCCUCCCAGCGCCUUAUCUCAUUUUUGUGUCGUCGGUCGCGUGAAGCAUUGAUGGAGCUUCGCGCAUCUCGCCGACUGUUGAUGGAGUGACGCAGGUCGUUCAGAGGAUGAGCGAUGGGUAGAAGGUGAUUAGCUGCCUGAGUAAGCAGCCGCUGGUAGCCUUCCGCGUUUGGAGUUCGCGGGUGGCCAUCAGCUAUCUGAGCCAAUACCCCUCCAACUUCACUCAGCGUGUUCAUUGCACGAGCAAAGUCGGGGUACAGGUUCCGACUGGAGAGAGGGUUCUCUUGGCGCAGCCUUUCACCUUGCUCGGCUUGCUCUCGUUCUCGGUCCUGAGCUUGUCGGCGAUCGCGGCGGCGAGGGUUUCGCCUUUCCUGGCGUACUCGCUCGUCGCGAGUUUCUCCUACUUCUGAGGCUUCAUCUCGGGAUACGGGCUUUGCCAGAUCCUGUUCCCCAGCCUCGUGAUGUCGCCGCAUGUUCCGGUGUCUGUUCCUCCGUCGAUCGUGCUUCACUUGGAGGUGAUGGCCAUUGAGCUGACUCGGAUCAACGACAUACCCCCUACUUGACGCGCCAGUUGUCGGUGUUUAGUGCCCGACCGCACACCCAGGGUUACCCUUGCGGUGCUUUUGGGUAGGACGGUGCUGUUGAUUGUAACUCAAUGGUUCGUGCUGGAUGCACGAAAGAGAGAGAGACAAACAAUUUUCUGUAGGUUCAGGCCACUUGGAGAGGCGUAAUACCCUACUUCCUGGUGUGGGUCUAUAUGUGAUGGGUUACAAACGAUGUCUCCUAGAUGGAGAAAAGCUAAUGAGAUAAGUAGAUGGGGGAUGAAAAUGAUGGGGUACCUCCUGGGCCUUAUAUACAUGACCGUGGGGCACUCCAUACCUACAUCACAAUCACAUGUUUCCUAAAUAAUAGUGAACCGACUGAACUGAUCUCCCGAAAACACCACCAACUCAUCCCUAAUCCUCCAUGCGCGGGAAAGUUGGAUGGUUUCUUUGGAUAGCCCACAAUCUGACGGGAUGCCUGGGCUUGAGUCUGUCGUCUUCUCCGGUCGGCCCAUUACACCAGUAGCUUUUGCCCGGCCCACGAAGGGAUGGCCUUGUGGGGUAAUUGGCUCGAGGCCCCGCACGAGGCCCUUUCACCUUCUAGUAGACUCGGAGGAUAUCUGUUCCCCACAAGGACCCCAUCAUUUUCAUCUCAUUAGCAUAUCUCCAUUCGGGAAACACCACUUGUAAACACACCACGCAUACAAAGCCACCCCAGGAAGUAGGGUAUUAUGCCUCUCAAAGUGUCCCGAACCUAUAGAAAAUCGCCCGACUCUCUCUCUCUCUCUCGUGCUUCUAGCACGAACCAUGGAGCUACGAUCAGCAACACCAUCCUACCCAAAAGCACCACGAGGGUAUCCCCGGGUGUGCGGUCAGACACUAGACACCGACAGCUAGCUCGCCAGGUAGGGGGGUGUCAUUGAUCAAAGUUAGCUCAAUGGUCGUCGUCUUCAAGAACAAGAUCACUCUCAGCCCAGGGCCAUGUUCCACUUAUGAACCAUCUCAUGCAUAACGGACGAAGAAGGGACUCUACACCGUGUAGCAGAUCCACCCGAGAAGAACCAGAUGACAAGGCUACGACAGAGCGCAUCGCGAGACAAUCGGCCCACAAUACCAUUGUAGGGGGCCUACUGCAUAGAAGAGGUGCAGGAGGAGUCCUCAUGAAGUGCAUUCACUCGGCUACUUGGAAGCAACUGUUAGAUGAAAUCCAUGCUAGGCAAUGUGGCGUACAUGCAGCGUCACGGACUCUGGUAGGAAAAGCUUUCAGGUUUGGGUUUUACUGGCCAACAGCGAAGAAUGAUUCAGCUGAGUUAGUCCAGAGGUGCGAGGCAUGCCAAUUCUUAUCAAAGCAGCAGCAUCUACCCAUCAACAGUUGCAGACUAUUCCUGUGACCUAGCUGUUUGCAUGCUAGGGGCUGGACAUGAUUGGGCCCUUCAAGAAAGCUCAAGGGGGAUAUACACACAUACUUGUUGCCAUUGACAAAUUCACAAAGUGGAUAGAAUACAAACCCAUCGCCUCUUUGACCUCAGCAAAGGCAGUGGAGUUCAUUCAGGAAAUAAUGUUCAUGUUUGCAAUACCUAACAGGAUCAUUACAGACCUGGGAUAUAAUUUCACCAGUUCAGAGUUCUUUGACUUCUGCGUGCAGAGGAGCAUCCAGAUCAAGUAUGCAUCAGGGGCACACCCAAGAGCUAAUGGGCAGGUGGAAAGAGCCAACAGGAUUAUACUCGAUGCACUCAGGAAAAAGGUGUUUGACAAAAGCAAGAAGCUCGCAGGAAAAUGGAUCAGGGAACUACCAUAUGUGGUAUGGAGCCUGCGAACCCAGCCGAGCCGAGCUUUACACGGAACACCCCAUUUUUCAUGGUGUAUGGAUCGGAGGCAAUGUUACCAGCAGAUCUGAUCUUUGGAGCACCCAGAUUAACGUUCAAAAGCAUAGCCGAAGCAGAAGCAACUAGGCUGGAGGACAUCGACAUAUUAGAAGAAGAACGACUGAAUGUGGUCAUUCAGUCGACCAGAUACCAGUAGACCCUGAGGCGCUAUCACGACAAAGCAGUACGACAUUGAUCCUUCACAGUGGGAGAUUUGGUCCUCUGUCGAGUGCCGACGGGGAGGGACGGCACAAAUUGUCACCACCAUGAGAAGGACCAUUCAUCGUUGUAGAGGUUACACGGCCAGGAUCCUAUCGACUCACUCAAAUGGAUGGCACCGAAGUGGGGAAUUCAUGGAAUAUUGAGCACCUCAAGAAAUUCUAUCCAUAACAAUGCCUCAAAGCUCUUGAGGACGAGUUGUACUUUGUAAGCAAAAGGUUUCAUUAUCAAUAAAGCUUCCAUGUUGGCAUACAAGUUCUUGAUCAACAACAGACCUAGGACGGGCUCAACUUGAAAUCGGCACGGCACUCUUACAUGACUUAGGGUGAUCACUAUACCCUACUAACGGAGCAAUCGGCUUGAGUCAGAAAUGCCUUAAGUCAGUGCGACAUGCUCACGCUUCCACGACUUAGAGUGAUCACUAUACCCUACUAAUGGAGCAAUCGGCUUAAGUCGGAAACGCCUUAAGUCGGUGCGACAUGCUCACGCUUACACGACUUAGGGUGAUCACUAUACCCUACUAACGGAGCAAUCGGCUUAAGUCAGAAAUGCCUUAAGUCGGUGCGACAUGCUUACGCUUACACGACUUAGGGUGAUCAUUAUACCCUACUAACAGAGCAAUCGACUUAAGUCGGAAACGCCUUAAGCUUGAUCUGACGAAAAACUAACAUGGUCGAGCAAUCGGCUUAAGUCGGAAAUGCCAAACCAUUUCAGCCUUCAGUCUGAGAUACCAUCCCCUCCUUGCUAUGGAGGCGAGUCCUGUCUUGUCUACCUGAGUUUCAACGUCCAUCCUCGAUGGAGAACUCAGCCAGGGCCGUCGAUCCAUGUACGUGUAUGGCGCAUGCCUACCACUGGCUGGUAGGGAGAUGGGUGCACUGUUGUGGCUGCCGGUAGAGCGAGACUGAAAGGGAAAUAAGGUUAACCUUUUCCUAUAAUUAAUUUUGGUGGUUGAUCAUCAACACAAACACAUGGACUAACUAGUUUACCUAGAAUUCAUGUAUUACAAGUGCAUAAGGUUCAACACAAACCAAUAAAAUAUUCAAGUUAGGGACCCAACUUAAAAGGAGCAAAAGGAAUCGAGUGGGCUGAAAAAUGGCACACCGGACUGUCCGGUGUGCCACCGGACAAUGUCCGGUGCACCAAGGUCGUACAGGUGUCAACCAGUCACUCUCGGGAAAACGAAGGCGCGCUCCACUAUAAUUCACCGGACUAUCCGGUGUGCCACCGAACUAUCCGGUGAGCCAGCGGGCAACGGCUAUCCAGCACCAACGGUCGACUCUGCAAAGUGCUACAGUGAGCUACAGUGUCGCGACAGAAGUCAGAGGGCAUCGGACUGUCCGGUGCCACAAGAGGACAAAGCUCCAACGGUCGACUUUGCUCCGAACCCUAACGGUUGGGUGACGUGGCGGGGCACCGGACAGUGCAUAGUGCCUGUCCGGUGGCGCACCGGACUGUCUGGUGCGCCCAUCGCCAGCAGCCUCCCCAAUGGCUACCCAAGUGGUUGGGGGCUAUAAAUACCCCCCAACCACCACAACAUUGAGCAUCCAAGUUUUCUGAAGAUCACAUUCAAUACAAGAGCUCUAGCAUUCACUCCAAGACAAAAUACAAAAGAUCAAAUCACCUCCAAGCCCCAAAUUCAUUCCAAACACUUAGUGGCUUGUGAGAGAGAGAUUUUUGUGUUCAUUUGAGUUCUUGUCGCUUGGAUUGCCUUUCUUUUUCCCAUUCUUAUUCUCAAGUGCUUUGUAAGCGAGGCAAGGGACACCAAGUGUGUGGUGGUCCUUGCGGGGUCUUAGUGACCCGUGAGAUUAAGGAAGAAGGCUCACUCGGUCUAAGUGACCGUUUGAGAGAGGGAAAGGGUUGAAAUAGACUCGGUCUUUGUGACCUCCUCAACGGGGACUAGGUUCUUUGGAACCGAACCUCGGUAAAACAAAUCACCAUGUUCACUCGCCUUAUUUCUUGGUUGAUUUGUUUUCCCUCUCUUCCCGACUUGAAUUUAAUUCUAACGCUAACCCCCGACCUUAAUGCGUGUUUAAAGUUAUAAAUUUCAGGUUUCGCCUAUUCACCCCCUCUAGGCGACUUUCAAUUGGUAUCAGAGCCUAGUGCUUCAUUAGAGUCUAACAACUCGAAGUGAUGUCGGGAGAUCACACCAAAAGGGAGAUAAUGACCGGCGACAAAUCCGCAAGCUCGGGGAGGACUCUCUCAAGGGGGUCAGGCAACAAACAUAAGGAGGAAUCCUCUUCCUCCAUCAAGUCGCAUCGGAAAGGUGACAAGAAGAAGAAGAUGAAAAAGGUGGUCUAUUACAAGACUGACUCUUCGUCACCCUCCACAUCAAGCUCCAAGUCAUCCGUCGCUUCUAAGCGCCAUGAGCGCAAGAAGUAUAGUAAGAUGUCUCUUCGCUAUCCUUGUAUUUCAAAGCGCGCUCCAUUACUUUAUGUUCCCUUAGGCAAACCACCAUAUUUUGAUGGUGCAUCAUCUAACCUCACUCCACGAAAGUAUUUGGGAUAUUGUUGAGUAUGGAGCGUAGGUACCUCAAGUCGGGGACAAAGACUAUGACUCGGACGAGGCCGCACAAAUACAACACUUUAACUCCCAAGCAACUUCUAUACUCCUCGCCUCUCUAUGUUGAGAGGAGUAUAACAAGGUGCAAGGGUUAAAAAGCGCCAAAGAAAUUUGGGACGUCCUCAAGACUGCGCAUGAAGGGGACGAGGUGACCAAGAUCACCAAGCGGGAGACGAUCGAGGGGAGCUCGGUCGAUUCGUCCUCAACAAAGGAGAAGAGCUGCAAGCCAUGUACAACCGGCUCAAAACCAUGGUGAACCAAGUGCGCAACCUCGGGAGCACCAAGUGGGAUGGACCAUGAAAUGGUCAAGGUUAUUCUUAGAUCACUUGUUUUUCGUAAUCCCACUCAAGUGCAACUAAUCCGUGGAGAUCCUAGAUAUAAACAGAUAUCUCCUAAGGAAGUGAUUGGCAAGUUUGUGAGCUUUGAGCUAAUGAUCAAAGACUCCAAACACAUUGUCAACUUGGAGCAAGGCGCCACCUCCACACCCAAGGUGCAACCCAUCGCAUUCAAAGCAACGGAAGAGAAGAAGGAGGAGUCUACAUCGAGUAGGCUUCUAAUCGACGCCUCCAAGCUUAACAACGAGGAAAUGGCGCUCAUCAUCAAGAGCUUCCGCCAAAUCCUCAAGCAAAGGAGAGGGAAGGACUACAAGUCCCGCUCUAAGAAGGUGUGCUACUGGUGUGGUAAGUCCGAUCAUUUUAUAGCAAAAUGCCCAAUUUCUAGUGGAAGUGACAGGGACGACGACAAGAAAGGGAAAAAGAAGGAGAAAAGAUACUACAAGAAGAAGGGCGGCGAUGCCCACAUAUGUCGGGAAUGGGACUCCAACGAGAGCUUCACCGACUCCUCCUCCGACGAGGACGCCGCCAACAUCGCCAUCAACAAGGGCCUUCUCUUCCCCAACGUCGGCCACAAGUGCCUCAUGGCUAAGGACGGCAAGAAAAAGAAGGUACACACUAGAGCCAUCCCCAAAUAUACAACAUCUAGUGAUGAGGGUAGCUCUAGCGAUAGUGAAGAUAAUUUAAUGUCUCUUUUUGCCAACCUUAGCCUGGACCAAAAGAAAAAAAAAUAAAUGAAUUAAUUGAAGCCAUUAAUGAGAAGGAUGAACUCUUGGAUAGCCAAGAGGACUUACUCAUUAAAGAAAACAAAAAAUUUGUUAAACUAAAAAAUGUUUAUGCUCAAGAAGUAGAAAAAUGCAAAAACUUAACUAAUGAGCUUAGCAUGUGUCAUGAUUCAAUUUCUAGUCUUAGAACUAAGAAUGCUAAUUUAAUUUCUAAGAUUGAAAAGUUGAAUGUUUGCAAUGAUUCUAUUUCCUGUCUUAGAGAUGAGAAUGCUAGAUUAAAAUCUAAGAUAGAAGAAUUAAAUACUUGCAAACCUUCUACAUCUACUGUUAAGCAUGUUUCUAUUUGUACUAGAUGUAGAGAUAUUAAUGUAGAAGCUAUGGAUGAUCACCUUACCAUGAUUAAACAACAAAAUGAUCACAUAGCUAAAUUAACUGCUAAAAUUGCCGAGCAUGAGCUCGAAAAUGAAAAUUUUAAAUUUGCUGGUAGUAUGCUCUAUAAUGGGAGACACCCUGGCAUUAAGGGUGACAUUGGUUUCCAACAGGGGAGCAAUGUCAAGCUUAAUGCCCGAAAAAAUUAUCUAACUUUGUAAAGGGCAAGGCUCCCAUGGUUCAAGAUACUGAAGGCUAUAUUUUAUACCCUGCGAACUAUCCCGAACACAAAAUUAGGAAGAUUCAUGCUAGGAAACCUCAUAAUGUUUUUCACCAUGCAUUCAUAUAUAAAAAUGAGGCUUCUAGCUCUAGGCAUACCACACAUGUUAAAAUGCCUAGAAAGAAAAUUCCUGCUGCAUCAAAUGAGCAUAAUGUUUCAUUUAGGACUUUUGAUGCAUCUUAUGUUUUAACUAACAAAUCAGGCAAAUUAGUUGCCAAAUAUGUUGGGGGCAAACACAAGAGUUCAAAGACUUGUGUUUGGGUACCCAAGGUGCUUCUUUCUAGCGUCAAAGGACCCAAGACUGUGUGGGUACCUAAGAACAAGACCUAAAAUUGUUUUGUAGGUUUAUGCAUCCGGUGGUUCAAGUUGGAUAAUCGAUAGCGGGUGCACAAACCACAUGACAGGGGAGAAAAGAAUGUUCUCCUCCUCUGAGAAAAAUGAAGAUCCCCAACGAGCUAUCACAUUCGGGGAUGGAAAUCAAUGUUUGGUCAAAGGUUUGGGUAAAAUAGCUAUAUCUCAUGACCAUUCCAUUUCCAAUGUUUUUCUUGUAGAUUCUUUAGAUUAUAAUUUGCUUUCUGUUUCUCAAUUAUGCAAAAUGGGCUACAACUGUCUAUUUACAUAUAUAGGUGUUAUUGUCUUUAGAAGAAGUGAUGAUUCAAUAGCAUUUAAAGGAGUGUUAGAGGGUCAGCUAUAUUUAGUUGAUUUUAAUGAUAACCAAGCUGAACUUGACACUUGCUUAAUUGCUAAGACUAACAUGUGUUGGCCCUAGCAUCGUCGACUUGCCCAUGUUGGGAUGAAGAAUCUCCACAAACUUCUAAAGGGAGAGCACAUUUUAGGACUAACCAAUGUUCAUUUUGAGGAAGACAGGGUUUGUAGCGCAUGCCAAGCAGGGAAGCAAGUUGGAGUCCACCAUCCACACAAGAACAUAACGACGAUGGACAGGCCGCUCGAGCUACUCCACAUGGACUUAUUCGGCCCGAUCGCUUACAUAAGCAUCGGCGGGAGUAAGUACUGUCUAGUUAUUGUGGAUGAUUAUUCUCGCUUCACUUGGGUAUUCUUACCCAAGAGAUCUUAAAAGGAUUCUUGAGAUGGGCUCAAAAUGAGUUCUGUUUAAGGAUAAAAAAGAUAAGAAGGGACAAUGGGACGGAGUUCGAGAAUUCACAAAUUGAAGGGUUUCUUGAGGAAGAGGGCAUCAAGCAUGAGUUCUCUUCUCCCUACACACCUCAACAAAAUGGUGUAGUGGAAAGGAAGAAUCGAACUCUAUUGGACAUGGCAAGAACCAUGCUUGAUGAGUACAAGACUCCGAACCCGUUUUGGGCCGAGGCGAUUAACACCGCUUGCUACUCCAUCAACCGGUUAUAUCUUCACCGAAUCCUCAAGAAGACAUCAUAUGAACUCCUCACUGGUAAAAAGCCCAAUGUUUCAUAUUUUAGAGUCUUUGGGAGUAAAUGCUUUAUUCUUAUUAAAAGAGGUAGAAAAUCUAAAUUUGCUCCUAAGGUUGUAGAAGGCUUUUUACUUGGUUAUGACUCAAACACAAGGGCAUAUAGAGUCUUCAACAAAUCCAUUGUAUUAGUUGAAGUUUCUUGUGACAUUGUGUUUGAUGAGACUAAUGGCUCUCAAGUGGAGCAAGUUGAUCUUGAUGAAUUAGAUGAUGAAGAGGCUCCAUGCAUCGCACUAAGGAACAUGUCCAUUGGGGAUGUAUGUCCUAAGGAAUCCGAAGAGCCUCCACAAACACAAGAUCAACCAUCAUCUUCCAUGCAAGCAUCUCCACCAACUCAAGAUGAGAAACAUGCUCAAGAUAAUGACGAAGAAAAUCAAGAAGUUGAGCCACCUCAAGAGGAGAAUAUGGAUCACGGGGAGAUGAAGAUGAUCAAGACAAGGAAGAUGAUCAAGAAAUUCAGGGUCAAAGACCGCCACACCCAAGAGUCCACCAAGCAAUUCAACGAGAUCACCCCGUCAACUCCAUCCUUUGUGACAUUCAUAAGGGGGUAACCACUAAAUCUCGAGUUGCUCAUUUCUGUGAACAUUACUCUUUUGUGUCUUCUAUUGAGCCAUACAGGAUAGAGGAUGCACGAAGAGAUCAGAUUGGGUGAUGGUGAUAGGAACGGGGGUGCCCGAUCUUCCGUCAGGUGAAGAUAACUAUCGAUUUGGUGGAGAUGUCACACAGACGAUCCGACUUCCAAUCAACACGACUAGAACCCCACAAUCGCAGCACCACUUCUCCUCUAGUUAUCAACCGUGCACUGCGCGAUUAACCUUGCCACGAGGGCUAAUUCCUGCCUGAGAAUCAAAGACACAAGCAAGAACAAGAAAGAACACAAUCUAGAAUAUUGCAGAUGAAUGAUUAAACUCACAAGUUGGGGUCUCACAAACCGAUCUACGGCGGCUGUUCUCGACAGAUCUAAACUUAAGCAAACCCCCCCACUAAUGUGGCAGUUGCUGCUAAAUAAAUAGAGUAUUAGGGCGUGCGUGACCCCUGGACUCGCCCCUAAUGGGCUCCGACGCGAUACACGACACAACGGCCCAACAGACGGUGUCGCAGCACCAAAACAGAAUCUGAACGCUGACUUGUUUCAACGAUUCCCAUUGACUCCGGAUGAAUUUUAGGGUCGAACCAGUUGUGUUGGUUAGAUAAUCUCCUUAUCUUUCCAACCAUAUCAAGUCUGUCGCAAUCGGAAUCCGGAUGCAUCUUGGGCAUCCAUUUUAGUGCAGACUGGUCCUGGAACCCGAGAUGGACUUGCAGCCGAGUCGGACUUGAUCUCCUUCCUGUUGUGGGCGCCCUUGCUGCUCCUCCUCAACACCUAGGCCUUUCCCAAGUUCUUGCUGGUCCUCGCCAAGGUUCCUAAUCAUCAAAACAUCCAUGGUCCCAAGCGUAAGCUCUAAAACACAAUUGACUAGGGCAGAACGUACCUGGAGAAUUAGCUGUCGUGCACGCGAUCGUGUUAUCGGUCCAUUCAUUGUAUGUAUAGAAGUGAUGUCCUCAUCAUCCUCCCCCUCUUGAAGUGGAGUCUUCCUUGACUCAAGCUCAUCUUUCUUCCCCCAAAUACGGUUUCAAAUAUGCAAUGUUAAAUGUAGGACUAACCCGGAACUCGGGAGGCAACUCAAGUUUAUAUGCAUUAUCAUUUAUUUUCUCCAAAAUCUUAUAUGGACCAGCAGCACGUGGCAUCAAUUUAGACUUUCUUAACUCUGGAAAUCUAUCUUUUCUCAAGUGCAACCACACUAAAUCACCCACUUCAAGCUUAACUUGUUUUCUACCUUGACUACCAGCAAUUCUAUAUUUUUCAGUCAUCUUUCCAAUGUUUGCUUUAGUUGAAGCAUGAAGUUUCAAAAUAAAGUCAGCAUGCUCCUUAGCAUCACUAUGUACUUGCUCGGUAGUAGGUAGAGGCAAAAGAUCAAUAGGAGCACGAGGGUUAAAACCAUACACUACCUAAAAAGGACUUACCUUGGUGGUGGAGUGUUCCGCCCGAUUAUAUGCAAACUCCACAUGCGGCAAACAAUCUUCCCACAUUUUCAAGUUUUUCUUCAAUAUUGCUCGCAGCAUUGCAGACAAUGUUCUAUUCACAACUUCUGUUUGUCCAUCAGUUUGGGGAUGACAAGUAGUAGAAAACAACAAUUUUGUCCCCAAUUUGUUCCAUAUAGUACGCCAAAAAUGACUCAAGAAUUUUACAUCACGAUCUGAAACAAUAGUAGAAGGCAUACCAUGCAAACAAACAAUCUCUUUGAAAAAGAGGUUAGCAAUAUGAAUGGCAUCAUCCGUUUUGUGACAAGGUAUAAAAUGUGCCAUCUUAGAAAAACGAUCAACAACAACAAAAACACUAUCGCUCCCCCUUUUCGUCCUAGGCAAUCCCAAAACAAAAUCCAUAGAAAUAUCCGCCCACGGAACUGAAGGAAUAGGAAGAGGCAUAUACAAACCAUGUGGGUUCAAUCGGGACUUAGCUUUUUGACACGUCGUGCAUUUUGCUACAAAGCGCUCAACAUCACGUCGCAUUCGAGGCCAAAAGAAGUGUGUGUACAGCACAGCCUCCAUCUUCUUGGCACCGAAGUGACCCAUCAAACCACCACCAUGCGCUUCCUGCAACAACAAAAGACGAACCGAACCAACUAGAAUGCAUAGGCGGUUAGCUCUAAACAAGUAUCCAUCAUUUAGCACAAAUUUAUUCCAUGUAUGGCCCUCUUUACAAUUUAAUGCAACCUCUUUAAAAUCAUCAUCAAAAGCAUAUUGUCCCUUAAUUGUUUCAAGUCCAAAAAUACGACAAUCAAGUUGAGACAACAUAGCAUAGCGUCUAGACAAAGCAUCGGCAAUCACAUUAUCAUUCCCCUUUUUAUAUUUAAUGAUGUAAGGAAAAGUUUCAAGAAAUUCUACCCACUUAGCAUGUCUACGGUUCAGAUUUGUUUGACUACGAAGAUGCUUAACUGACUCAUGAAUAACAAAUUCCUUAAACCACAAAUAAUGUUUCCAUGUUUGCAAAGAUCGUAUGAGAGCAUAUAAUUCUUUAUCAUGAGUAGAAUAAUUAAGAACAGGACCAUUCAUUUUUUCACUAAAAUAUGCAACGGGUUUACCUCCUUGCAUCAAAACAGCACCAAUGUCAACUCCACUUGCAUCACAUUCAAGUUCAAAACUCUUACCAAAGUCAGGAAGUUGGAGUAGUGGCGCGUGAGUAAGCUUCUCUUUUAAAAGAGCAAAAGAAUCCUCUUGUGACUACCCCCAAUUAAAUGAAACACCCUUCUUGGUCCACUCAUGUAAUGGGGCAGCGAUGGUGCUGAAAUCCUUCACGAAACAACGAUAAAAUCCUGCAAUUCCAAGAAAACUCUGUACUUGUGUCACCGUCGAUGGCGUUGCCCAACUCUGAAUAGCAUGCACCUUGGCCUCAUCAACCUCAAUACCCUGUGUAGUGACAACAUAGCCAAGAAACGAUACGCGUUCGGUGCAAAAGGUGCAUUUAUCAAGGUUAGCAAAUAAGCGUGCGGUGCGCAAAGCAUCAAAAACAGCACGUAGAUGGUCAAGAUGUUCAGAUAAACAAGUGUUGUAGAUCAAGAUAUCAUCAAAAUAAACCACCACAAAUUUUCCAAUAAAUGGGCGCAAAACCUCGUUCAUCAAACGCAUAAAAGUACUAGGGGCAUUAGUUAAUCCAAAAGGCAUCACUAACCACUCAUACAAGCCGAACUUGGUUUUAAAAGCAGUUUUCCAUUCAUCGCCUAAUUUCAUUCUAAUUUGGUGGUAUCCACUGCGCAAAUCAAUCUUAGAAAAUAUUUUAGAACCACUUAACUCAUCAAGCAUAUCAUCUAAUCGAGGAAUAGGAUGAUAGUACCGGAUAGUGAUGUUGUUAAUGGCUCUACAAUCUACACACAUGCGCCAACUACCAUCUUUCUUUGGAACCAAAAUGACAGGAACAGAACAAGGACUAAGGCUCUCACGUACAUACCCGCGGUCCAAAAGGUCUUGGACUUGGCGCUGAAUCUCCUUAGUCUCCUCAGGAUUUGCUCGAUAUGCAGCACGGUUGGGCAAGCUCACUCCAGGAAUCAAAUCAAUCUGGUGCUCAAUCCCACGAAUGGGAGGAAGUCCUGGAGGUAACUCAGAGGGAAAAACAUCUCGGAACUGCUGCAAAAGGUUAGUCACAGAUGCAGGGAAAGUGCUAGCAAUAUCAUCAAUAGAAAAGAAAGCAUCUUUGCAAACCAAGGCAUAGCAACAAGCAUCAGUAGCAUGAGUUUCAAGAAGAUCAGAUUUAGUAGCAAGCAUGACAGGAGCUUUCAAUUUAAUUUGUUGUUGAAUUUCUGUCUCAUUAGUUGGUUCCUUAUGGGUAUUUGCAGCUCUAUCUUUAUCAGCUUGUACAAUUUCAGCAAGAGUCAAAGGUAGCAAAGUAAUGUUUUUAUCUUUAUGCCUAAAAGUGUAUGUAUUACUCCUACCAUGGUGACGUGCAUCAGUAUCAUAUUCCCAAGGUCUACCCAACAAAAGAGAACAAGCUUCCAUAGGUACUACAUCGCAAUCCGCAUAAUCAGAAUACAUACCAAUGGAGAAAUGCACUCGUACCAUGUGUGUUACUUUAACCUUGCCUGAAUCAUUGAUCCACUAAAUGUGGUAUGGAUGUGGUCGUGGACGUGUGGUCAAGCCAAGCUUCUUGACCAAAUCUGAACUCACCAAAUUAUUGCAGCUUCCACCAUCAAUAAUAACACGUGCACGCCGAUUCUCGAUGGCGAAGAAAGUCUGGAACAAAUUAUGGCGUUGCUGCUUCUCUGAUGAUUCAGGCUGAGCACUAAGAACACGCUGCACCAUGAUGCUUCGAAGGUUCAUCGUAGCAUCAGCACCAAGCAUAACAUCAUCAUUAGCAGCAACAUCACUGGAGUCAUCAUCGUCAUCCUCACCGUCGGAAGCACUAAUGUAGCCAUCAUCCGUAGCAAUGUAUGUUCGCUGACUCGAGCAAUCCUUCUUCACGUGACCAAUCCCAUGACAGCGGUGGCAAACAAUACCCGAAGAACGACCACUGGAAGGUGCUGCGGGUGCUGGUGAAUUCUGUUUCUUGGCGGGUACCUGCAAAGGAAGUUUACCAACAUGUGCAGAAGGUGUCGAAGGAGGUCGCGUGGCGCUGUAGUGGUCGAAGGUGUAUGACUCGAGGCAGGUGUGUGCGUCCGUGAUGUAGAGGAGGCGCCAAAAGUAGUCCUAGGUCGAUGUUGGCGUCCCUGCAAUUCUUUCUCUGCAAGCAUAGUAAAGUGGAACAACUUGUUGACAGUGUUAAAAUCUUUGUAAUCCACAAUGUCCUGAAUGUUAUGCCGCAAACCUGAAUAAAAAUGGCAAAGAGCGUCCUCAUGUCCCUCUACUAUCCCACAACGCUGCAAUCCCUUCUGAAGCUCAACAUAAUAAUCUUGAACAGAUUUAUCCCCUUGCUCUAAAUGCAUCAAUUUCUUACGCAAUUCUCUAUGAUAAGAUGGGGGAACAAAUCUAUCACGCAUAGCUACCUUAAGAUCUUCCUAAGUCGUAGGUGCUCUACCAUCCCCAACUAGACCAGUCCACCAAACAAUAGCAAAAUCUUUAAAUUCACUAGUGGCUUGUCUAACUUGAUGUCGUUCAGGUACAAGGUGGGUUCCAAAUUUCUGUUCUAUCGUCAUCUCUCAAUCAAGAUAUCCCUCAGCAUCAUAAUGACCCGAAAAAGAUGGUAUAGAAAAUUUAAUCUUAGCAUAAGGGUCGUCAGGAGCACGAUUGUUAUUACCUUGCUGGUGGUGUUGGUGUGGCAUACCUUCUGUGUUUUGAUGAAGACGGCGACGUAGGCGCAAAUCUCUGGUGGCCGCUUCAUCAUAAUUACCUUCUUCAUCAAACACGGCAUCAUCGGGAAGACGUGGACGAGGAGGUGGUGGUGGCAGCGGUGCUUGUUGUUGCGUAUCCAACACAGCAAGUCUGUCGACGAUCUGGGACAAUCGUCGAUCCAGCCUCUCGUAAGUCUUGCCAAGGUUCAUGUCAAUGAAGGCAUCAUGCACUGACUUGUGGACCGUCUCCUCCAUUUGCUCCUUCAGGAGCUUGUUGUUUGCCUCAAGAUCUUGGCGGCUAACACAUUCAUUGAAAUCUGUAGGGAUCCUUGCUUCCUCCUCGUCGCCUGCCAUCGAAACAAACGGUGACGGUUAUCCCUAAUAAUCUCACUACACGCUCCUCUCAGGUGGAACACAGGAACACACUCUAAUGUAUCUUACCAAGCUCUUACAAGUGUCUGACGAAAUACAAGCAAAGGAUGGUACAAUCGGAGGCUGGUUCGUGAUACUUACCAAGAGGUAGUGACACCGCGAUUGCAAGGUCACAGCUGUAUUGAUCAGAAGAAAGUAUGUGGAGCUCGGGAGGCCAAAAACUAAUAUCAAGGAUUAGCAAAAAUCGAGUGCAGAUUAGCGAAGUUCAAUAAGUGUCCAAAUCACAAGUCACAAUUGAUGGCUAAGACAUGUCCUAUCGAAGCACAACAAGAUAAAAGUAACAAACUAGCAGAAUGGCAAUUCUGUAAAUAGCGCAGAUUUUUCAGCACUAGUAGAAAUCAAAGGCGUGUUUCCAAAGGAGUACCAGCAAACGAGCUCGAAAUAUUCUGAAUUUUUUAUCACUGAUCCAAAAUCACAAUUGAUGGAAGCACACAAAAUUUCACUUGAAACAGAGUUGUAUUGUGGCCUAGAGAAAAUCACAAAGGAUCUCUAAAAUUCCUGAAAACACUUAAACAAUUUUUUUAAUUAUCUUCCUGAUUUUUUUUGAAUUUUUUGACCGAACCAAACAGGCCGUAGGAUAAUUUGGGUCACCCCAGAAUGGAAUCAGAAAUCUACUGUAAAAAUUUGAGCUCAAACGGAGCACCGAGCGAAAAGUUAUGCCUGUUUUAUGGAAGGUACCUCAAGUUAUGGUUUUCAAGGGCACAAAUUGGUAGGAACCGUAGCGGCGGUUAUAGAGCACAGGGCACAAACCUCCCUGGUAUAAGCAAUAGGUAAGCGCCAAAUGAUGAAACAAGGAGGGGCUGCAAUGCAAUGCGGCUUGCAAAAUAAUCUAGGGCUAGCGUGGCGAUAAUUCACACAAGGCGGCUAGCGAGGGCAAAUCGAGUAAUGUGGUGUCUCGACUUGUAAUCUGGGUAAGGUGGAUGGGCUAGCGGCGGAAACAAAUAAAAGCGAUAGAGCGAUUGAACUACGAUUACGAAACGACCUAAACCAGCAACAAGACUCGAACACGGACACAAAUUCAACAAAGCAAUCUGAAACGAAAUUGUAAGGCUAAAUAGGGUUAUAGGACAGCGAAAUUUUUUUAUGGCAAUUAUCUGGAGUUAUAGGAUGAAAAACCUAAACUACACUAGGGUAAGCCUGACGGUAAUACCUGAGUCUUUGAAUACCACUUGAUAUGAACGGGGGUGCCCGAUCUUCCGUCAGGUGAAGAUAACUAUCGAUUUGGUGGAGAUGUCACACAGACGAUCCGACUUCCAAUCAACACGACUAGAACCCCGCAAUCGCAGCACCACUUCUCCUCUGGUUAUCAACCAUGCACUGCACGAUUGACCUUGCCACGAGGGCUAAUUCCUGCCUGAGAAUCGAAGACACAAGCAAGAACAAGAAAAAACACAAUCUAGAAUAUUGCGAGUGAAUGAUUAAACUCACAAGUUGGGGUCUCACCAACCGAUCUACGACGGCUGUUCUCGACAGAUCUAAACUUAAGCAAAACCCCCCUAAUGUGGCGGUUGCUGCUAAAUAAAUAGAGUAUUAGGGCGUGCGUGACCCCUGGACUCGCCCCUAAUGGGCUCCGACGCGAUACACGGACCAACGGCCCAACAGAUGGUGUCGCAGCACCAAAACAGAAUCUGAACGCUGACUUGUUUCGACGAUUCCCGUUGACUCCGGACGAAUUUUAGGGUGGAACCAGUUGGGUUGGUUAGAUAAUCUCCUUAUUUUUCCAGCCAUAUCAAGUCCGUCGCACUCGGAGUCAGGAUGCAUCUUGGGCAUUCAUUUUAGUGCAGACUGGUCCUGGAACCCGAGAUGGAAUCGCAGCCGAGUCAGACUUGAUCUCCUUCCUGUUGUGGGCACCCUUGCUGCUCCUCCUCAACACCUAGGCCUUUCCCAAGUCCUUGUUGGUCCUUGCCAAAGUUCCUGAUCAUCAAUACAUCUAUGGCCCCAAGCGUAAGCUCUGAAACACAAUUGACUACGACAGAACGUACCUGGAGAAUUAGCUGUCGUGCACGCGAUCAUGUUAUCGGUCCAUUCAUUGUAUGUGUAGAAGUGAUGUCCUCAUCAGAUGGCAAUGCAAGAGGAGCUCAACAACUUCACGAGGAAUGAGGUAUGACAUUUGGUUCCACGUCCUAAUUAAAAUGUUGUAGGUACCAAGUGGGUAUUCCGCAACAAGCAAGAUGAGCAUGGUGUGGUGACAAGAAACAAAGCCCGACUUGUGGCCAAAGGUUAUUCACAAGUCCAAGGUUUGGACUUUGAUAAAACUUAUGCACCCAUAGCUAGUCUUGAGUCAAUUCGUAUAUUACUUGCCUAUGCUACUUACCAUGGCUUCAAGCUUUAUCAAAUGGACGUGAAGAGUGCUUUCCUCAAUGGACCCAUCAAGGAAGAGGUCUAUGUUGAGCAACCUCCCGGCUUUGAAGAUGGUGAGUACCCUAACCAUAUGUAUAAGCUCUCAAAGGCGCUUUAUGGGCUCAAGCAAGCCCCAAGAGCAUGGUAUGAAUGCCUGCGAGACUUCCUUAUCACUAAUGGCUUCAAAGUCGGUAAAGCCAAUCCUACUCUCUUUACUAAAAUUGUUGCAAAAGACUUGUUUGUAUGCCAAGUUUAUGUUGAUGAUAUUAUAUUUGGGUCUACUAACAAGUCAACUUGUGAAGAGUUUAGUAGGAUCAUGAUACAGAAAUUUGAGAUAUCUAUGAUGGGGGAGUUGAAGUAUUUCCUUGGAUUUCAAAUCAAGAAACUCCAAGAUGGCACCUUCAUCAGCCAAACAAAGUAUAUUCAAGACAUACUUAAGAAGUUUGGAAUGAAGGAUGGAAAACCCAUCAAGACACCCAUGGGAACCAAUGGGCAUCUCGACCUCGACAUGGGAGGUAAAUCCGUAGAUCAAAAGGUAUAUCGGUCGAUGAUAGGAUCUUUACUCUACUUAUGUGCUUCUCGACCGGAUAUUAUGCUUUCUGUAUGCAUGUGUGCAAGGUUCUAGGCAGAUCCUAAGGAAGUUCACCUUAGGGCUGUUGUCGGUACCCUGGAUUAGGGGUACCCCUUACUACGGUAUGAAGGCACGAUGCCUGCGCGGCUACCCUUAGCCGUGCGGGGAACAGCCCCAGGGGUAUCUCGUGAGCAGUUAAGGUGGCAUUCUUGGAGACAACGUCAUCGGGCCCAGAAGGCGUAGGACCCCUAUGCGCACAACCCGGACCCCCGAAGUAAAGCAGCCCGGAGCCAUUGGAUAGGGUUCGGACCCCAUCAAGUGAGCUCCGGACCACCCGUAACAAGGUCCCGGGAGAGGAAGUGUCGCAACCUAGGCAUGGGUCUGGUAUUGACGUGUGUCCAGGCUCUAUCUGGAGCGCCUCCGCUCCCCACUCGGUUGAGGGUCUAAUGCUACCACAUGGCUUAUUGUCCGUGAUGUAGGCCAGCGGGCGGAGCAUGAUGUAAGGGCUCUAGGCCACGCAUUUAUUGCGGAAAGGACAUGCCACCUGUCCACCUCUCUGAAAGGCGAUGUGCCCCCACGACAUUUAUUGUGUCCUGUCCAUUCCGCUGGCAUGCGGCACCAGGGCCACUCUGCAGACGGCACACCUGUCCAGUCUGUUGCCGAAACAGUGUGCCCGUGCUACGUGGUGCACUGUGCUCAUCCCUUGUGCAAGAAGCUUCCCCCAGCACGCCGAGACCACGCAGAUCUCGGGUGUCAGGGCGCAAGAAGAUUGCUCCAGCAGAAUAUAUUAGUAGCUACAUCCGCUAUGUUCUUGGGCCCACAUGUCGGGGCUCAGUACUCUUGUACAUGUCCCCCUUUAGCUAUAAAAGGGGAGGCAUGCGACGUUACAACACAAGCUCAAUCUUGAGGACACAGACCCAAGUCAUCCAAGACAACUCAAGCUCUCAAGCAAUAUAACACACAGUGGAGUAGGGUAUUACGCUCCGGCGGCCCGAACCACUCUAAACUCUUGCGUGUUCCUGUGUUCAUUCCUUCAUCUCGCAACAAGCAAAACGCUUAGGCCCCUUCUCAUCUUAGGAUUUAGGGCGAGUGCACUCCACCACCCGGCCAGAGAUUUCCUCUCUGACAUUUGGCGCGCCAGGUAGGGGGCUAGGCUUUAGGUUUUUGCUUGUUUUCUCGCUCAGCAUGAUGGUGCAAAUCGUUGAGCACCGCGCCGAGACUUCGGUGGAUUUCGUGGUGGAGGAAGAAGCUGCGUCUUCCACACCACAGGUUCCCAACCGCCCUGUCCCGGACACUACUGCUGUGCACGCCGCACGGCAGCAUACAGCUGUACAGACAUCCCGAACUCCAUCAAGGGCGACUCCGGGAGCAUUGUCAACAGCCAGGGAGUUGCUGCGACACCGUCCAAGCUCCACGGCCUCACUGGGGGCCAUGAAGCAAUGGCGCGACGACGUCGACCGACUGCUCGGUAUGACACAUUCUACCUCGACCAGGUCGAGGCCACGGUCAUCCCGGCGCCAACAUGAGGCGUCGGCGUUUGUGCGCUCACCCUCAGUGAGGGGCGCAUAGACCAACAACCUUCGGGCAGAACUCAACCGCAGGCGUGCGGGAGAGGACGCCCGGGUCUCUUUGGAAAGGGCGCGCGAGCGCCGCCAAAACAUCAAGGGUUGCAACCUCGAUCAAGACUUCGCCGCAGUAGCACCGCAAACGUCGGCGGGUGCCCGGAUCCAGGCCGGUGUCCCAUUGACUGGCGUAGGCUGCGCCGCUCUCGCGGAUCAUAUCCACGCGGCAUCUUGGCCAUCUAAGUUCCGACCGCACUUGCCAGAAAAGUACGACGCUACGUCAAACCCGUCAGAAUUUCUGCAAGUAUACGUCACCGCCAUCACGACAGCAGGUGGAAACACUGCCGUGAUGGCGACAUAUUUUCAUCUCACCUUGUCUGGACCAGCCCGGACUUGGCUCAUGAACCUUGCCCCAGGGUCGAUCUACUUCUGGGAAGAUCUCUGCGCGCGGUUUGUUGCAAACUUCGCCAGUGCUUACCAGCAACAUGGCAUGGAGGCCCACCUCCACGCAGUGAGGCAAGAGCCCGGAGAAACUCUCCGGACAUUUAUCUCCCGCUUCACCAAGGUGUGAGGUACUAUACCUCUCAUCUCCGAUGCUUCUAUCAUCACGGCCUUCCGCCAGGGGGUAUGUGAUAAAAAGAUGUUGGAGAAGUUGGCCACGCAUGACGUGGAAACGGUCCCCACUCUCUUUGCUUUGGCCGACAAGUGCGCCAGGGCUGCUGAGGGUCGUGCGUGGCACUCAGCGCCACAGAUCGGGGCUGCCCAAGCAGGCGGCUCAGGUGCCGUCGCUCAGGACGGCAAGAAAAGGAAGAAAAAGAACUGUGGCAACGAGAAGCCGCACUCCGCCGCUCUGGUCGUGGCAGCUGCGACUGGGGGCCGGGGCGACCGCAACAAACGCCCACGACGACCGAGGGGUAACAGCGGCACAUGCCCCGUGCACCCCAGCGGUCGCCAUAGUGCCGCAGAAUGCCACGAGAUCAUCGACCUCGCGAAACGUGUCAGCGCGUGGCGCGAGCAGUCUUCCGGGGAUGGCUCCCCACCUCGUCGCCGACUCGGCAAGGAAAAGGCCGACGACAAAGAGGUGGCCGUGGCCGAACCGGACCUCGGGUAUCAAUCACCCGAGGGGGUCCUGAGGAUGUCUUCACUGGAGACUCCAAUUCCGGUGAAGGCAACUAGACGGACCACCAGGGGGCCCCGUGCUACUUGGCCUGCGGGGCCGAAGUCUGCCUUCCCCCCGGAAACCCUUCUGGACUCCCCACGGGUCCAACCUUUCGAUGGGUUUGUGUAGGGGCCACUACAACGUGAGGACGUGGACUCAAGCGGCGGACUCAGGUGUCAAGUCGCAACCCGAAAUGCACAUCGUAACCAAGCGCCCAAGUACUAUGGUCGACGGUUCGUGCAUAGUAGGGAACCCAGGGUCGGAACCUAAUCCUGCGGCAAAGUACUGAACCAAGAGGGGAUCUGUAACCUCUACCCCAGCAGGGAGGAACCCCUCAAGGCGAUGGAAAUAUGCCAACCCGAGGGAUGCCAACUUUGCUAUAGCUGAAGAAGUACCCCUUCCUAUCCUAGUAAGUUCAUAGAAGCAACUCUGAGGGGAUAGAUUUUUCUCCUUUCAUAAUUAAAUUUUGCAUAUGUGUACACCAGCCCGGUGAGGUCUGCCCACAUAACCUGGCCUGAUGGUUUACACCCAUGCAUAUCAAGUUAUAAAGAGGAAAUUCACCCCCUCGGACGCGUUUCUAUGACAACUUUAUCUUCCUGCUCCAUGGAUUUGGCCUAUAGUUUUCAGAUAAUACCUUUUAUCUAACCCACCCGCACGGUUCCCCAUCUGUCCUAACAUGACGACAUCCGAAUUGAGCUGUCAGGCUUGCAGUUUAGGACCUCCUUUACGAAAGCAGGGAGGUCUGAUAGCCUGGGGGCCGGUUCCAAAGAACGGAAGCUCGUUCCAUGGAAUGGUCCGGAGCAGUGUAGCCGCUUAGCCUGGUCUCGUACCGUAAGCCUGCACAACCCACCAUUUUGUGACGGGUACCUUAGUAUUUGGAACUAUAGCUAUGUGGGUCCGACAACCUAGGGUCCGACUCAGGAAAAUGGGCACUUGUCUCCUAGGGUGGUCCGGAGCCGUGUAGCCGCUUAGCCUGGUCCCGUACCGUAAGCCUACACACUCCACCACCCUGCGAUGGGAGUCCUAGUAUCUAGAGCCGCGACCCAAGGGGGUCCGGACACGCAACUUGGCCACCCGGACUAAACCCUGCGAGUCCCGAGCAUGUAUCAAAGGAUGGCUAAUAUCAGACAGGGGACCCUAUGGGUGUACUACUAACGCUCCCUAGCUGAAGCUGUGUACAGAUCCAGAUCCCGGCCGAGGCUGCCUCUCGAGAGUUGUUGACAACCCUUUUUAGAUACGCUGGUAACCAACCUUGACACAUCAAGCCUGCAUCCCAAGCGGGGGGCCAGGUACCAGGGAGGAGUCAACAACAUCACACAUAGCAGGAACAUGCGGUACACAGAUAAGUGCUAACACUGCUUGAUAAAUAGUACUCAAAAGUACCUUACAAAAAGCAAAAGUAUUACAUUCGCCUUCAAGCGGAAUCCUAGUUCCACCUCUACUCUGCAGGUAUAAACUACUAGACGCCAGCGGAGUCGCGCUGGAAAGCCCGCGACCACUGUCCUUGCGCAAUCCUCUAGAACGGCGUAACAACAGUGAUGGCCGCCUCAAUGUGUGCACCAUUGCGAAGAGGUCCUCGCCCCCGUCCUCCUACGGGGGGCGACAACGAGGCCAUUAAAUCCAAAGAGUUGGAGGCUUGGUGGCAGGUGGCGCUGGUGGUCUCGCCAGCGGAGGCAACCACCUCUGCAACGGGCAGCCUCACCAGCGGCGGCGACCACCUCAGCACCGAUGAUAGCGGCCACCUCUGCACCGGUGGCUUACCAGCGACGGCGGCCGCCUCACCGCAUGCAGAAAGGUCCUCGCCCCCGUCCUCCUACGGGGGUGAGGACAAGACCAUCCAAGAACGCGGUCGCCACCGCCGUGGCGUACAACGUCUUGUACAACCCCCUGGGCGGCGCCAGAGCAGUGCAGCCGGUUGCGCAGGGAACGCCACGGAUGCGGCAGACCUGCGCACGGCGCGACCGUCGCUUGUACGGUGGACGAACAGCCGCGCCCCGUUUGGCGGCGGGAGGCAGCACCAAAGCCAUCUAAGCCAAGGAGCCAGACACGCGGCAGCUGACGGCGCCUGCAGCCGGUCGGCCCCGCGUAGCCGAAGUUCACCUCCUCCGCAAGGCUGGUGAACAUCCUUCUCCUCCAAAUGCUGGAGGAAGAAGCGGGUCACCAGCCCAUGCAGAAGGUAGGACCCCAACUCGGCUCGCCUUCCACCCCAGCGAUGAUGAUGAACAUCCUUGAAGCUGAGGGCAGGGGGGAAGCCGCAGCCCGGCUCGCUUCUCUCCACCAUAAGGCUGGUGGUCAUCCUUGUAGAUGACCACUGGCGGGAGACUGCAGUCGGGCUGCAUGAUGAAAAUCCUUGAAGUCGAGCGAUGGCAGAAGAGCGCCAACCCCCAUGAGGUCGCGCUCCUCCAACAACAGCAAGAAGAAGACA
rnacentral:lncRNA from 1 species